AAUUGACUGAGGGGUCCUGGUUGUACCCAAAAGCUCUGUUUUAGACUGUGUUCCUAUUGUCCAAUAAACCUUCCAUUUAACUGGCUGGCUGAGAGUCAUGGUGAAUCCCAGGAACAGGGGUACAGGGCCCGGACUCCCGCACACUCCGUGACACUCUACAAAUGCUCAUGUA